UACAGAGGUCUCAAGCGUUGUUCGGAUUCAUUGGGCGUAAAGGGUGCGUAGGCGGCGCGGUAAGUCGGGUGUGAAAUCUUGGAGCUUAACUCCGAAACUGCAUUCGAUACUGCCGUGCUUGAGGACUGGAGAGGAGACUGGAAUUUACGGUGUAGCGGUGAAAUGCGUAGAUAUCUGGAGGAACACCGGUGGCGAAGGCGGCAUCCUGGACCAAUACUGACGCUGAGGAGCGAAAGCCAGGGGAGCAAACGGG
rnacentral:rRNA from 1 species